rnacentral:ncRNA from 1 species
AUGGCAGCGGGAGGCUCUGACGCGCGGUCCACACCCCGGCCGCCGGGACCGCGCCGAGCCACUGGCGAGACCGGCCCGCGAUGGC